AGGCGGGCUGGAACCUCUCGGGGUUACAGCCUUGCUGAAUUAUUCACCCUUGUCUUUUGCGUACUUCUUGUUUCCUUGGUGGGUUCGCCCACCACUAGGACAAACAUAAACCUUUUGUAAUUGCAAUCAGCGUCAGUAACAAAUUAAUAAUUACAACUUUCAACAACGGAUCUCUUGGUUCUGGCAUCGAUGAAGAACGCAGCGAAAUGCGAUAAGUAGUGUGAAUUGCAGAAUUCAGUGAAUCAUCGAAUCUUUGAACGCACAUUGCGCCCUUUGGUAUUCCAAAGGGCAUGCCUGUUCGAGCGUCAUUUGUACCCUCAAGCUUUGCUUGGUGUUGGGCGUCUUGUCUCUAGCUUUGCUGGAGACUCGCCUUAAAGUAAUUGGCAGCCGGCCUACUGGUUUCGGAGCGCAGCACAAGUCGCACUCUCUAUCAGCAAAGGUCUAGCAUCCAUUAAGCCUUUUUUUCAACUUUUGACCUCGGAUCAGGUAGGGA
rnacentral:rRNA from 1 species